GACACCCUGCGGUGCUCGUGCUUGAACUGAAGAAUCUUGAGCCAUUAGAACUUACCCAGGGAGCCUAACUUUGCGCUCGCUUCGGCGUCCGCAAGAGGGCACCCACCUGUACAUAACAGGGUCAAGAUAAUUCAAUUUCACACGGCAUCGCGGGGUUUUU
rnacentral:other from 1 species